CAGCCGCCACGGUAAUACAGAGGGUGCGAGCGUUAAUCGGAUUUACUGGGCGUAAAGCGUGCGUAGGCGGCUUCUUAAGUCGGAUGUGAAAUCCCUGAGCUUAACUUAGGAAUUGCAUUCGAUACUGGGAAGCUAGAGUAUGGGAGAGGAUGGUAGAAUUCCAGGUGUAGCGGUGAAAUGCGUAGAGAUCUGGAGGAAUACCGAUGGCGAAGGCAGCCAUCUGGCCUAAUACUGACGCUCAGGUGCGAAAGCGUGGGGAGCAAACAGGAUUAGAUACCCGCGUAGUCCCUGUCUCUUAUAC
rnacentral:rRNA from 1 species